rnacentral:tRNA from 1 species
AAUAAGUUGCCUGAUAAAAGGGUUAUUUUGAUAGAAUAAAUUAUAUGAAGCCAUUCAUACUUAUUA